rnacentral:rRNA from 1 species
ACCAAGGGCUAACGACGGGUAGCUCGGUCUGAGAGGACGACCAGCCACACUGGAACUGAGACACGGUCCAGACACCUACGGGUGGCAGCAGUCGAGAAUUUUUCUCAUGGGGGAAACCCUGAUGGAGCGACGCCGCGUGGGGGAUGAAGGGCUUCGGGUUGUAAACCCCUGUCAUUUGGGAACAAAGCUUAUUGAUUAACAGUGGAUGAGUUGAUUGUACCGAAAGAGGAAGGGACGGCUAACUCGGUGCCAGCAGCCGCGGCCGA